rnacentral:misc_RNA from 1 species
GAUGAAGAACGCAGCGAAAUGCGAUACGUAAUGUGAAUUGCAAAUUCAGUGAAUCAUCGAGUCUUUGAACGCACAUUGCGCCCCCUGGUAUUCCGGGGGGCAUGCCUGUCCGAGCGUCAUUGCUGCCCUCAAGCACGGCUUGUGUGUUGGGCCCCGUCCUCCGAUCCCGGGGGACGGGCCCGAAAGGCAGCGGCGGCACCGCGUCCGGUCCUCGAGCGUAUGGGGCUUUGUCACCCGCUCUGUAGGCCCGGCCGGCGCUUGCCGAUCAACCCAAAUUUUUAUCCAGGUUGACCUCGGAUCAGGUAGUGAUACCCGCUGAACUUAAGCAUAUCAAUAAGGGAGGA